AGGGUUAUGGUAAGUAUUGUUUUUAGGUUGUCUAGGUCGAAAAGGAGGAAGGUGAUCGCUACUAGGAAAAUUUUUAUGGAAAAGGGUAGGCGGGCGGAUCCUAUAGGGUCAAAUCUGCAUUCGUAGGGGCUUGUUUUUUCUGCAUAUACAUUUAAUUGGG